AGUUGAUGUAUUUCCCCUUAGACUGAAGUUUACUUACGAAAAGAGAGUACAAAGAGGCGUCCUGUCACUUCUGGAGAGGGUCAUUUGCUGAUAAAACAAAGAAUCAAUACUUUCGAAUUGCCAUAGCCCCACCCCUUCUGAACUGCAAAAGUUUAGCCAAAUGAUUUAUAUGUCUUUCACCGUUCAUAUCUUCCAAAACAGUAUCUUUUAAUUUUGCACAUUCCUUGUUCCCCCACAUCCCAAAACCACGAUGUACCUUCCAUCCGCGCAUUCGUGCCAAACUUUCUCAAUGUCAAGUUCCCCAAAGGGAAAACUGAGCAACCUUCAAAGUUUGAAUUCGGGAGAAACAAUGUAAAAUCAAUCUCACACUCUUCUCCAAGGCAUAUUUUACUGCUUACAAAUAAGUCUCCAAAAGUCCAUUUACAUUGUGUCAAAACCAGUCGCUCCAGAUCCCUGAGGCUGACAGUUGACCACUGCCCCUUACUCGGUUUUCUCACCCCGCCCUCCCCGUUAACUUUUUCUCAGCCCGUUUCCUGAGAAUUUCCCGGCCCCCACUCAUUUGCUACACAUUUUAAAGGUCUGUCUCGCCCCUCACUCCAACCCCCCAAACUUGCUUUCCAACCCCCAAAGCGGCACAGAACUUUUUUCGGAAUUAUCAUUAGAUUUGUUUCAGUCGGCCGUUAACCGACGUUACGAUUGGGAAAAAGGCCAGCCAACAAGACCCUUUUUUAAAAAUCGCAUGUCACCUCUCUCCACUCGAAAAUGGCGCCGAAAUCGAAGAACUUCUUAAAUUUCAUUGCAAGCUUUUUGCAAUGGUUUCUGGGAUUUUCCUGCGAGGCUGCUCUGCUGUGUCUGAAGGCUCACGAACUAAGGAGCAAGCAAUCGAGACCGAGGGAGGAAGGAAAAGAGCAUCUACAAAUAAAUGCUGACAGAGCCAUGCAUGGAGCAAAGGGCCAGCCUGUCAUUUGCCUGCCAGAAAUCUGUACCCUCCCGCAACCGUACCAGCCGCCUGUGCCAGGUUAGCCCUUCUCAGCUACUGUGUUUCAUCAUUCUGUAAGUAACUUUGAUUCUUGCAUCACCCUUCAGGUAAAUUACGUGAACCUCAUCAAUGGCCAAAGCAGAAUUGGGUAAGAACAAAGCAAAAUACCUGGGUGGGUGAUCAAAAUAAAAUAUAUGGGGCCAGGGAUUUAGCUCAGUGGUUCCGCUGCCUGCCUCGCAAGCACCAGGUCCUGAGUUCAAUCCCUGGUACCAGAAAAAGAAAAAAGAAAAGCUAUCAAAAUAAAAUAUAUAAAAUGGCUUAGUAUAUGAGCCAUGAAAAAUGCAUAUGUGCUUGGAAUCAUCUCCAGAUUCCAUAGCACAAUGCAAACGCUAUGUGAGUGGUUGUUAUACUGUACUGUUUAGGGAAUAAUGACAGGAAAAGUCUGUACAGGUUCAGUGCAGACAAAAACUCUUUCUGAAUAUUUUGACCCAUGGUUACUGAACCAUCAGUUUGGAACCUGCAGAUCUAGAGGGCAGAUUGUCAUUACAUAGGGCCCCCAUUUCCCCACUUUAGAGGAUUGUUGAGUUUGUAUUAUUACUAAUAUGUGUACCAUUAUACCAUUAGAAACAAUGUUUGAGCUCCUACCAAGUGUCAUCAUUUAUAUUGUUUUGUUUCCAUUUCAUACUUUUUUCUUUAGGGUUUAAAUGCCUUUUUAGUGUCCUUCUAUAAAACUAAAUAGAAGCUUUUUAGUCAGUCAGUCAGUCCUUUGACUUGCAUCUUGUAGGCCUUAUUUUCCCAGAAGAAAGAAAGUAUAACCGAGGUAAAGAUGCAGCAGUGACAUAGCCUGUAUUUUUCCACACAGUUGGUGUCUUGCCAUAUGUAUUUACAUAAAUGCAUUAAGGAGUAUUGUACUUAUAUAAACACAUGUAUUUACAUAAAUACAUAAAUCAGUUGAAGAAUGUACUUGUGGAAUUUGCCAGUGUGAUCAGAUUGAUGGGGUGGUAGCAACCUGUACAGUGGUCCCCAGUGGCCCCCACACCCUGGUAUUCACACGUUUGUGUAAUUCCCUCCUGAGUGUGUGGAUGGGACCUAGAGACUCUUCUAACAAAUAGGACAGAAGUGAUGGGAUGUCUCUUUUGGGACUGAGAUACAAAAUACACCGUGGAGUCCUGUGGCCUCUUUCAUUCCUUCGCCUUCACUUUCCUUUUUCUCUCUUCAUCAUCUGCCACAUCAUGAGGAUGCUUGGAAAGCCUAUGGAGAAGGCCGGAAGAGAGGAACUGAGGUAUCCCGCCAGCAGCCACUCGAAUAAGCUUGGAAGCAGAUUCUCAGUUCCAAGUAAGACUUUUUGCUGAUUGUAGCUGCAACUCACAAGAGCCCCUGAACAAGAGGCACCCAACUAAAUCCUGCCCAGAUUCCUGACCCACAGAACAUAGGAGACAAUGAAGACCUGUUUUUUGGUGGUAAUUUGUUAUUCAGCAAUAGAUAACUAAUACAGAAGGUCCUGUACUUGUAUAACUGACACUAGUUUAUAAGCUGAAAUCUAAUCUCAUUUGUUUUCUUUUGUAAAUGUUUUAGAAAAUCAUAGGACUGAGUCUCUCUCUCUCUCAAUAAACAACUAUAAUUACAAUUUAAACAGGAUAUUGUAGAGAUCCAUCAUAAUGAUUACCACUAAUUAGAACUAACAGACAUCUUUGUGAAAGUCAGCUUUCUCUUUACAAUAAACACUUGUCUCUUGAUAAUGUAUUUCUUAUGAACAUGCUGUGUGUGUGUGUGUGUGUGUGUGACAGUACUAUGCUUAGUUUAAUGUUUGAGCAGGCUUUCAUUAUUGGUGAAGAAAUAGAGGGAUAGGGAUAUUUAUAUGCAUUACAAAAAUGGAUUAACAUUAAAAUUAG
rnacentral:lncRNA from 1 species